UGGCAUACAGGGAGCCAGGCA
rnacentral:miRNA from 2 species